UAGAACCCCUCUACAUGGCUGAAAUCGUCUGGAGGUUAAAGAGACCCGACAGUCACCUACCAUCACACACACAGGAUUGAGCCAAGAGGACAACAGGACUAGCAACGGACAUCCUCUGACCUGUCUGUGAUUUUCUUCAGCUCUUCGCCAACUUCUACAGGGAACUAUGAUGGUUGGCCAACAGAGACUUCUCCUCACCGUGGCAACCUGCCUAUUUCUCCUAGCAACCCUAUGCCCCACCUUAGAGGCUCGUCGUGGUGGCAGCUUCGGACGUAGUGGCGGUGGGGGUGGGGAGGUAGUAGACGUGGAGGUAGCGGUUACCCUCGUCAAGGUGGAGGCACGGGAUACCGACCAAUGCCAUCCUCGAGCGGACCGGUAUACCGACCAAUGCCUGCCCAGAGUGGAGGCUCCAGUGUGGGGAAGAUGGCAGGGGCUGCUGCUGCUGGUGCCGUGGGGGGAGCAAUGCUGGGCAGUGCCCUGAGUCGUCCUGGCUAUGGAGGAGGAUAUGGGGGGUAUGGAGGUGGUUAUGGGGGGGGUUAUGGAGGCUAUGGAGGAGGCUAUGGGGGCUACCCGAGAGGUGGAGGGUAUGGCCCCAGGCCUGGUGGCUAUGAGGGACCAGAGGGCUCUGGGGAUAUGGAGUACUACUAUGGAGCAUCCAGCGGGCCCAUCUAUAACAGCAUCAUCGUCAUCAUUGGGUCACUAAUGUCACUGGUGAUGGGGCACUGGAUGGGAGUGAUGUAGAGAUAUAGUAAACAGAAAGAGAGGGAUAGAGUUACAACUAAAGAUAGACCAAGACCAUGUGUAUAUAAAGACUCUUGAGACCAAGACUAGACUCUGACCCCAGACCCAGACCAAGACCUUGGGUAUUGAGUCCCAAACCAUGACUGAACACUAAUCUCACAGGUUGUGAUUCCAUCUAAUUAGAUUUGCAGGUGUAGUGGAGCAAAUACACUUCCUGUAUAGCUCCCUGAUCCAGAAACACACUGAUGCAGAUUCUUUGUCAACUAACUAUUUGCACAACAUUUGUUUUCUGAGACAUACUUAAACAACAUACAAAAAUCUAGUGUGAUAAUUGACCUUCCAGUCGAGCACUCACUACCUCAAUAACACAUGAUUUACUUUAUAUUUUAUUUACCAUGGUUGCUAUCAACACUUUAAUAUUGCCAUGCUGUGGACAUACAGUAUAAAGGUCAAUCUUUAUUUGAAAUAGUCCCGUUAAAACAGGUUUAACUUAUUUCAACACCUGGUAGAACACUGGCAGCGUUUGGAUUUGGAUUUGUAAAUUCUGUAUAUUGUACAAUUCUAUGAAUUUUAUUUUGUUUCCAUUAUUUUUCUUACUUUAUUAAAUAGGCUGUGUGUGUGGUGGAGUGUAUAAAUUCUAGUAUGAUCCAAAAAGUUUUUGUUUUGGUGUCAUUUGAUGUAUUUUUCCUGUGGGGUUAUUCCAAUAAAGACAUGAGAGACAGA